rnacentral:lncRNA from 1 species
UCCGCCACUGACCGAAGACUUUCGUAAGGAGAUCCAGGCAGAAUACAGAAAAUUCGCCGAGCUGAACAAUAAGAUCGUCCAUAUGUAUGCCAAAGGAUAUGAAAUCUGCCGAAGUAAAGGCAAGAAAAAGCUCGGGCCGAGGUAGAUCCAUCUCUUCUAGACUCUUUAGAUGGUGACAAUGACAAGGAAGAAGCCUGAAGAUGACCUCUCUUUAUCUUUAGCUGUAGAACUUUCUGUAAAAAUUCUAACUUUUGUGAACAGUUAAUAUUAAUGAAAUAUCAACUUCAUGCAUUAUUACUUCUGGGUGAACAUUUCUUGUCAGUAAUUGAUCAUCAAUCAACUUAAAAACUGUACAAGUGCUUCUUAACUUAAACUGUUAGUCAAUAAUCAAGCAAAUGAUAUAACAGUUAAGAAAAAUAAUGAGAUAAUCUGAACUCAACACUUGAACAAAAUAAAGUAAUGCAUACUUAUCGUUACUGAAGUGUGAGAUAGGUCAUGUGUAAGGUGAAUUCGGCUGAUCUUCCUUGCACUAUCAAGAUCUUGUUUUCCACUCGGGGUAGAACAAGUAUAUAAGGACCUUUGUUUACCACUCGGGGUAGAACAAUUAUAUAGGAACCAAGAUAUAAGGACCAUGGAAUUUUUCUACCACACGGGGUCACAAAUUCAUAAGGACACUCCUGAUAAUAAGGCUGCCAUCGAAUGGCCAGCAAGUCCGACCAUACCUCCUUACUCCAGUGCAUUUUGUUUACCACUCGCGGUAAAUCAAAAUUAAGAGGAUCAUGGAAUUUGUCUACCACGCAGGGUAUAACAAAACCAUAAGGACACCCCUGCCGAAGAGGCUACCAUCGAAUGGUCAGCGAGUCCACUCCGUCCUCCUUACUUCGGUGACUAUUGAUUUACCGCCCUCGGUAAAAGCAAUAUAAAGGAACAUAGGAGUUGUCUACCACGAUGGGCAACAAAUAGAUAGGCUACCAUCGAAUGGCCAGCGAGUCCUACCAUACCUUACACCAUUGUGAACUUAGGACAAAUAGGAACAAGAUCAGUUGUGAAAAAAUGAGCAUGGAUGAGCCACCGAAGUCUUUCUGUGCUGAAUUUCCAGUUCUUUCAAGAAUAUCCCUGCCGAAGUAUUUUGUAGGCCAAUAACUUUGCAGCCAAAUGAUCGCCACAGAUGUCUUUGUGAACUUCCCGAAGAACAUACUCUGCUUCGGACGGAACUAAAUAUUUGAGCAAUGGUGACGGAAAAGGACCUUCGAAAAAGAUUCUCAUUAAUGAGAACAAAAUUGACACUCUUAUACUUGAUCUUCUUUAGCCGGCAUCUGAUCUGAAGGAAGGACGCUAUAUGCCAUCAAAGUUAUAAGCAUCCGUAGUAGCCAACUUCGAUAAUGCACCAGCAAUGGAAUUUUUAUUGUGAUCGACCCCUUGAUAGCCUGCUGUACUGAUGUCCAAAAUAGAAUAUCCAUCUGCAUGCAAUGUCCACGAGCUCUGCUUCUGCUGAAGUACUGCAACGGCUUUGUCGGACUCCUCAGCUGCUUUCCAUAUGAAGCUGCAACUUUAGAUGGAUUUCUCCGAAGACAAGUAUCCACAAGGCGGUGUGCCCUAAGUGGAUUCUCAAGAGUGCGACUUCUGGGUCUGCUUCAACCAUAAUCCCGAAGACCAAUAGGGCGGAAUACCCUUCUUCGAUCAAUCAGGAAAAUGGUUGUUGGGUCUUCAUUUACUCUGCUUCGACCAUAAUCCCGAAGACCAAUAGGGCGGAGUACCCUCUUCGGUCAAUCAAGAAAAUGGCUGUUGGGUCUUCAUCUACUCUGCUUCGACCAUAAUCCCGAAGACCAAUAGGGCGGAGUACCCUCUUCGGUCAAUCAAGAAAAUGGCUCUUUGGUCUUCUUUGGUCAUGAGGAUCACCUUGAGACAUGUCCUCAAAGUGUAUAGACUGCUUUCCAACUCACAGUUGUCCAUCUUUAGGCGUACCACAUCUUUCAGACUGGACAUAAUUUGAACGCUUUGUCCCUCAGCUUGGCAAUCCGAAGAAUCUGCACAACUAUAUCCUUACUCUGCUCAGCUACCUCCUCGCUCCGCACAGCUACAUCCUCGCUCCGCUCCAAGAGAACCUCCAAAGCUCUAUCUACUUCGUCCACCAUUUUCACCAGCCUGACCACUUCGGUGCCUAGUUCUAGGAGGGGUGCCUUUUACUUGCCCUCGGCCAUGAUCAUGCUCUUUGUCAGCAGCAAAGACCAACCAUCUUCGGGCUUCGCCGUGGGCUCUCGAACGAGAACCCCCUGAUUUGUGCCAUAACUUCCGAUGUAGAACAACUGGAAAUAUUGUGAUUGAUAACUCAAGAACACUAGAAAACAGCCCUCCUUCUAGCGCCAAUGUUAACGCCAAGAUCUGCUGCCACGUCCCAAUCACGUAAGACGUCCUGAUCCUGCACAGUAAACACGAUAAGACACCAAAAGCUUGACGGCUUCGACCGUCGAGGGAUAGCUCAGGCGUGAGAGUCAGUAUACGUGUUCACAAAGUUAACACUGGAGGAUGUAAUGUCUAGUGUAUUGAGAGAGAGAGAUAGAUAUUCUCAGUUGUGUGUAUGUGAAUAUGAAUGUGAACGUACCUUUUGCUUGAAGACUUCCUUGCUAUGAUAUACUACAGGACCUGGUUUACCGUGCCACUGACUCUCCUGACACCUGUUAAUCCCAUCCCCUCUGUCCAUCGCUGGCCAACUGUCCAAUCCUUAUUAAUGCCAUGUAAGAUAUCAGUCGGCCAUUAUCUUUGCCAUCAUCACCGGUUCAGAACUCAAGUGAAGAUAUUUAAAUAUAUGAUGGGUCGACCCACUGAUUUGGUCCGAUACUAGAAAGACUUAACAAAGAUAAUAAAGUGACUAGGCUCAAUAAUGUCAACAUCCAAUAAUAAAGACCCAAUAAACUAACUGAAUAAGUAGGUUCAAUCUAUUCGACCCAAUAAGAAAAAUAUCACGAUCCAACACUAUCAAUCAAAGAUAUGCAAAAUCCGACAACCUGGUUUAUAGAAAUUAAAAAAAUAAACAAAAGUUUCGAGAAACUAAGUAAGUUGGCAUGCCUCGACAUGCUCUUCACCUCAAGCAAAACAAGUAUGCAAAAACAAAAAGAAAGAGAUGAUAUAAAAUACUAGUAUUUAAGUAUUUAUUUUCCAAUACUUGUUAUCCUAAUCUUCUUUGAGAUGACGGAGAGAUAAAAGGUGUAAAAAAGAAAGCACUUAUUAUAUAUAUUCAACCACUAAAUGUCCUCACCUAGGAAAGCGUGCUUAAUUGCCUAGCUUACUAGCUUGUCUGCACAAUUUUUUCUUUUUAAGAUUUCAUUCCACCAUCCGUACAUCGCGGAUAGCUGCCGUGUGUCCAUACUAUUUACAAGCAAUAUAUAUAUAUAUAUAUAUAUAUAUAUAUAUAUAUAUAUAUAUAUAUAUAAAGUAGACGAAAAAUAAAUUGAUCAUAAUCACUUAUAUCUAAGGCGGCGGUUCAAACCGUUGUUAUGGUCUUAUUCGUCUUUGAUUCUUUUUUAAGUUCGUUGGAAAUAAAUUUUAUAUUAAUCGGAUCCUGUAUAUAUAUAUAUAUACACACAUGUGCAAAAAAACUUAAUUAACAUGAUAUUGUCGACCUAUUUAUAACAUAAAAUUUAUUUAUAUUCAAUAUUAAAUCUCUUAUUUUAUAUCGUAUUUAUGUCAGGUUACUGUGUUGUGUCAAAAUUAAUUAACACCCCUACAUGCAAGUGUUUCAAAGAAAUUAUUGUUAAAAUAAACACGUAAUAUAUAUUAUUAAAAAUAAAAUUAAUAUUUUUACAAGUAUAAAUAUUAAUUUCACGAGCAGAAAAUACUUUGUGAAACUAUUAUUUUUAAACGUGAAAAUAUGAAUUCCAUUAAAACAUUUAUCGCAAAAUUAACGGAAUUCUAUGCCUCUUGUUGUCACCAAAGCAAUUGCUCUCCAAAUCAUCAAUUCGAACACCACCUGUUCAUUCUGACGUAUGAUUAAUAGUACUACUACUAAGAUUGUAAACGAAUCGAGUCGAUCCGAGUAUUUAGUUGCUCAGAUUUGGUUCAUAAAAUUUAUCCAGUAUAAAAUAAGAUUUGAUUGAGGCUCAUUUAGCUACCGAGUCGAACACAAUUCCGAAUCGAGCCCGAGCAGUUUGGAUUUUUUUAACGAAUAUGAUCCGAGUAUCAAUAAUAAAUUAUAAUUUGAAGAGGUUCGAGUAAUUUAUCGAACUUUAAAUGUGCUCAUAUUUGACUCAUUUAUAUUUCGAGUCGAGUUCGAAUCGAACUUUUAGUCGAACAAGUACAAAUCGAGUCCAAACUAUUUGCUCAUUUUAUAACCUUAACUACUACUGCCCAAAAUGGCAUCCAAUUUUUUUUUAAUUUAUUAAGAUACGAUGGUGAUUACCCACAAUCUAUCCCCCGUAAGAAGCAAGCAAGUAAACACAUGCUUAAACCUCAUUGGCCUUGUAGUGGUUAUCAAGCUUAAAAAAUAGGCCACCCACUUGAUCUUUUUUAAUUCCAAAUAUUAGAAAAUAAUUUAGGCUCUUUAUUGUUUAGUGUCUAGAUGCAUAAGCCCUAUGUUAUACGUGGCACUUGUCCAUCAAUUCCCUAUUCCUCUUUGGGCUCACUUUCUUAUGAGAACAUGUCACCCGAUCCCUUGGCAAUUUUUUAGAGUUCCUCAAAUGCCCUUGUAUACACAAGUGAAUUAAAGUCUUAUAUCAAAAAUAAAAAUAUACGCACAAAUAUAUUUUGAUGAUCCAUAUAUUAUCUAAUGAUCAGUGAUAUUUUAUGUGUCAAGUUAGAUCUCAAACAUGUUUACUUAAAAUCUUUUACAUGUACGCAUGCAUCAUACAAAAUUAGGAUCUUCUUUUAUUUUAAAUAAAAUGAAAAUUCUUUAUUUCACGAUAAAAAUUUAAAAUAUAUUAAAAUGUGACAUCAUGAUAAUGGGAGGAACGAAUAACAACUUUAAGGAUAAUUUAGUGAUUUACCUACAUGUAGUUCAUAUGAAGAAGGGUUGGUCAUGAUUUCAUAAUAUAUUGUGAUGAUUAAAAAAGGACAAAGAAAUUGACUGAUGGAAUGAAGCAAGUGAUGUUAUGAGCUGAUAUAAAUAUGUGACGAACACUAAACACUUGAUCAUGUCACAGAAUUUUUGGGACAAGCUUACCUACUAGCUAAGGUAGCUUCUUCUUCUUUCCAUUUUUUUUUUCUUCUUAUAGCUUAUAUGUCUUGGGGUGGAGUGAUGGCAGACCAUUUGGGUUGGGGAAUCAUAGAAGAAGGGUGGAGGAAAGGCCCUUGGACCGCUGAAGAAGAUAGGUUGCUCAUUGAGUAUGUCAAGUUGCAUGGUGAAGGAAAAUGGAACUCCGUCGCUCGCCUUCAAGGUUUAUAUAAUUUUUUGUUUGUUAUUAUUUUUAUGAAAUUAAAUCUUCAUAUAUACACUAAAUUUUGUAGCAACGUACUGAUCAGUUAGUUCUAGCUCAUAUACUACUAUAUAUAUAAAUAUAUGAUUUUAAUUGUUAAUUUUUUGGUUGUAUAGGUUUGAAAAGGAAUGGGAAAAGCUGCAGAUUAAGGUGGGUGAAUUACUUGAGGCCAGACCUCAAGAGGGGACAAAUAACCCCACAUGAAGAGAGCAUUAUUCUAGAGCUACAUGCUAGGUGGGGAAACAGGUAAUAUAUACUUCAUUCAAUCCAUGUCAACUAACUAUUUAUACAUGAACUCUUUUUUUCCCUCAAUUAACUUUCAAAUUAUAUAUAGAAUUAAUCCAUAUAACUUACUUUUAAUUCAGAUGGUCUACAAUUGCAAGAAGUUUACCAGGAAGAACAGAUAAUGAAAUCAAGAACUACUGGAGAACCCACUUCAAGAAAAAGGCAAAAACCCCUCCAACUGACAUGACUGCAAAGUCAAAAGCACGCGUGCUAAGAAGGCAACAAUUUCAGCAACAGCAGCAGCAAAAUCAAGUGGACAUGAAAAAGAAGAUGAUCGACGAAACGGACAUUAACAAUAUUAGAGUGCCAAUUCUGCCCCAUCAUCAAUAUCAUCAUCAUCAAGUCAUGAUGAAGCAACAAGACAUGGCUAGUCCUAAUAAUUAUAGUACUACCGCUGAUCAAGAACAACAAGCAGGGUGUUUUUGUACCAUAUUCAAUGGGUAUGCAGCAGUACUGCCUGAGGCCACGUCGUCGUCGAAUGAGGACUUCUUGUGGGAUGGACUGUGGAACUUAGACGACGAUGUUCACGGCAAUUUUAGCCCGGUUUCUGCAGCAACUAGAGCUACCCUGCAGAGUUUAGCCACUCCCUGCAGCUUCUUUUGAUUCUUAAAGCUGUACUAUUAUAUAUAUAUAUAUAUAUGUAUGUAGUAUUAGUUCUAGUAAAAUGGAACCAAAAAGAAAGAGGUUCCUAGCUACCUGCCUACCUAAUAAAAAGCAUAAAAUCAUGUACGUUGUUAUGAAUUUACAUAAUUUUCGGCUGUGAGCGAGCUAGUGCCAAUCCCCGGCGCCUAGAGUACUUACUACUGGUAAGUGUGCCUAAUAAUUCUUCUACCAUGUAUCCUCAUGAAAUACUGCAUCAAUGCUGGUUGAUCAAUGAGCCCAUCUACUGAGUUGUAUAACAUUUCGUCGAGUCUCUAUUAAUUUUUUAACCAUCCAAUUAUAAUUCACUGGAAUUUUCAUCUCAUUCUCCAUACAAUAUUUGUGUUAUUUUUUUUUUACUUGGUAGUAGUUAUAACCCCAAUUUAUUUAGACUGAUGUAUUGUGAUUUUUAGGUGAGAUUAUUCCUUCCUUUAUGUGACUGAGAGUUUUUUUUUGGUUUAGUGAAAUUUGGUUGAUUCUUAAUAUUAGUAAUGUUGUUCUUGAUUAUAAAAUUAAAGUAUAUUUCGAGUUUAAAUUUAAAAAAAAAAUCAAAAACAUUUGAGUCAUGCAAAAUGGUUGCUUUAGGGUGAAAUAGUAUUCUACUUUACUUUUUUUCCAUGCACCAAUCAAAUUUUUACACACACAAGACUUGUGCGUGCAUACUGCCUAAAACUUUUGACGAAGGGUAACAAUAAUAUGGUAAACUGUUGAUACAAACAUGUGCAAUUUUACUUUUUAUAUACAGUAUUUUAAUUAUAAUGAUAUUGCAAUCCUAUGAUACAAGUGAAUAUUAUUAUAAUUGUAUAUGUAGAAAUAUUUUAAUACUCCCUCGAUCCCUUUCAAAAACAGUCCCUGUGAUUUUAUUUUUUCCUGUUAAUUAUAAAAUCUUAAAAUUUAAAAUCAAUAAAAAAAUUUAAUUUAAUUAAUGUGAUUAUGGAGUACAAAAUUGUUAAAAUAUACAUACUAAAUCAAAUAAACACAUACCUCGUUAAUUUAAAUUAUGCGUUUUGCAUAAAUUCUAAAUAAAUUAUGUAAUUUUUUGCACACUUGUGUCAUUUCAUUAUUUUUUUUUGAGAAUUUAAUUCUAAGAUGUGAAGAAAUGAGUUUGAGUUUUAAAAAAUUAAUAAUAUAAAAUUAUCAAAAAUAAAAUAAAAAAUUGGAUCUCCAGACCAGUUCCUAGUUCCUGAAUAAACAAGCAGACCCUGAAAACGUUCACCGAAACACAACUAUUCAAAAUUAAUGAUCAUCUUCUCUGCGCUCAGAGCCUUCACAUUUACCCAUAUUACCUCACGUUAUUACGCUUCUGCCACUGUACUGGACCCAUCACUCUCUCUUCUUCAACUUCUUCAACUCUCAGUCCACCAUCGAUCACUGAAACUAACACAGCAGUCCCAUGCUCGAGUCUGUUAUCUUGGGCUCAGUCAACACUCUGUCACUGUAACAAAACUCGUCUCUGCAUAUUCCGUCAGUAAAAACCCGGUCGAGUCACGACUCGUUUUCAACUCAGUUCGAGUUAAGAAUGUAUUUCUAUGGAACACAUUGAUCAAUGGGUAUGCAAAGAAUUGUUUGUAUAAUGAAAGUUUUGAACUUUUCAACGAAAUGUGCAGAAUUGAGGACUCGCCGGACGAUUUCACGCUUUCGACUCUGGCGAAAGUCUCCGGCGACAUUAAGGACUUACUCACCGGGAAAUCGAUUCAUGGGAAGAGUAUACGAAUUGGGUUUGUUUCAGAUACUAUACUUGCCAAUUCACUAAUGUUUGUGUACUGUAAAUGUGAGAGUUUUGUUGAUUCUCGUAGGUUGUUUGAUGAAAUGCCGCAAAGAAAUGUUUCUUCUUGGAAUGUUAUGAUAGGGGGAUUUACUGUUUUGGGGAAUUCUGGUAUUAAUGAUGAAAUUUGGGACUUUGUUAAGUAUAUGCAAAUGGAAGGGUUGGAAUUUGAUGGGUUUACAGUAUCAAGUCUUCUUCCUUUAUGUGGGAGCAAAUUUGGGAAUUGUGAUUAUGGAAGGGAGCUACAUUGUUAUAUAGUGAAGAAUGAAAUGGAAAUGGGUAUGGGGUCUGAUGUUCAUUUAGGAUGUUGUUUGAUAAAUAUGUAUUCAAAAAGUAAUAGAAUUAAUGUGGGUCGACAGGUUUUUAAUCGAAUGAAGUGUAGAAAUGUGUUUGCCUGGACAGCAAUGAUGAAUGGUUAUGUACAGAAUGGAGCUUUUGAUGAAGCUAUGUUUAUAUUUCGUGAAAUGCAGAGGGGAGGUGGAAUAGAACCCAAUAUGGUUUCCCUUGUGACUAUUCUUCCUGCUUGUAGCUCACUUGCUAGUCUUUUGGGUGGGAAACAAGUUCAUGGAUUUGCUGUUAGAAAGGAAUUGAAUCAUGAAGUUUCUUUAUGCAAUACUCUAAUUGAUAUGUAUUCCAAGUGUGGGAGCUUGAACUAUGCAAGACGAGUCUUUGAUUUCCAUUGUCUUUGUAAAGAUGCAAUCUCUUGGAGUUCGAUGAUUUUUGGGUAUGGAUUACAUGGAAAGGGUCAGGAAUCUAUUAUAUUGUAUGAGAAGAUGCUUCAAAGUGGGAUCAAACCGGACUUGAUUACAGUUGUUGGGGUUCUUUCUGCUUGUGCUAGGUCAGAAAUGGUGAAAGAAGGCCUUAAUAUUUAUUAUACAGCCGUUAAUGAUUAUGGAGUUAAACCAACGUUGGAGAUCUGUGCAUGCAUGGUUGAUAUGCUUGGUCGAUCUGGCCAGCUUGACAAAGCAUUGGAUUUUAUCAAGACCAUGCCUGUAGAACCUGGUCCUAGUAUUUGGGGGGCACUUGUUAGUGCUUCUGUACUUCAUGACAAUUCUUACAUGCGAGAUUUGGCUUACAAGUUCCUUAUUCAGAUAGAACCUGCAAACCCCUCAAACUAUGUCUCACUUUCGAAUUUGUAUGCUUCUUCACGGAGGUGGGACGCUGUUGCUGAAGUGAGAAGAAUGAUGAGAGAAAGAGGAUUGAAGAAGUUGCCUGGGUGUAGUUGGAUUAGCAUUAAUAGUGAAACUCACAGUUUCUAUGUUGCUGACAAAGCUCAUCCCAGCUCUCAUAUGAUUUAUGAGAUGCUGGAUGAAAUCAUUUUAGUAAUGAAGGGAGCUGGCUAUUCUUCAGAGUUUGAGAAUUUUACACAGAUAUGUUAAAAUCCAACGGCCAUCAAGCUAUUUUGCACAAGCAGGAUAGGUUUAAAUGUUUAGCUGAGGUAUCUGGUGUGGCAAAAACUGGAGCUCUCUGAUGGUUAAAGUUCGGACUCAUUGGCUUGUUUGAAGCCUAAACUGCAUGCCUUAAUUGUCUUGGCUCAAUUUGUAGUGAUAUGAUGAGCAUAUAUAAUAAAUAUAGCAACUAUAAUACUAAUUACAAGAUUUAUCAUCUAAAAUUUAAAAUAUUUCAAUUUCACUUUUAAAAAAUUGAUAAUAAUCUUAUACUCCCCCCUUGUUCCACAAAAAAAUUAUAAUUUAUUUAAUUAUUAAACCUUCAAAUACAAUAAAUAAAAUAUUAGUAUUAUGUUACGGACAUACGGUCCAUUAAGCAACUCUACUGUCCAAAUAAGUCAACUAGCAAAAAAGUGGAAUUGUUUGAUUUAAGUGAGUUUGUUAACAAGUUUUUGGUACUCCAUUAUCUGAUUGAAUCAUAAGUAUCCUAUUUAUUACAUGGGGGAGGGGAGAGAGAUUAUGGUGGGGGUGAGAAACAAAAGGGAAAGGAAAAAGAAAAUUCGUAUUUUAUAAACGAUGAAAAACUAACAAUACAAAGAAUUGAAAAUUUCAAAUGAUAAUUUUUUUCAAAUAUAAUAUUCCCUCCGUUCCAAGAUAAAAGUAUUUAUUACUAUUUUGGGUAGUCCCAUGUUAAAUGUCCACUUUCUUUUAAUAACCAAACUUUUAUAUAUUUUUUUUUCUAUUUUAUCCUUAGCAUUAAAUAUCUCAUACUUUUGUUAUUCUAAUUCUCUCUCCAUAUUUAAUAAGUAUAAUUAGUUAUGUGUUGAAAAUAUAUUUUAAACUCGAUAAAUUAUAAACUCAGUACCUAAACGAGCGCCAAUCAAACUAUAUUUUAAACUCGAUAAAUUUUAUUAACCAAAUCUAAGCAACUCAAUACUCGACUCGAUUCGGUUUAUUUACACUCCUAAAUUUAUGGGAUAAAAUAUUAAUUUUGAGUCCUUUUUUCCCCCAAAAAAUAUAUGAUUUCAUUUGUAUUUAUUUGAGAUUGUCAUUAUCUUUCCACAAGUGAAGUCUAUACUUUUUGGCUCCAUAUCUAUUUGGUGCAUUGAGGAGAUUUCCAUGGUUUAAACUUGAAAAAUUAAACAAGUGAGUAAACCCCUUACCCCUUGAUUAGGUCAACCGGCUAAUGAAGUCUAAUGUUCCCACUGUAAACAAAAGUUAUUUAAUUCCUCGUCAUUUCCUCGUACUAAACUAAAGUGGUACAGUACUAUGAAAUGUAUUUUGCACUUCAAUGUUAUACUCAUGUGCCUCUAGAUGCCGUCAUGCCUUUCGAGAAAAAAUUGUUGUUUCAUUUUGUUAUCUCAAAGAUUCGUUCACGCAUUCAAUUAUUAAUAACGCGACAAAUCUUAUAUCGUAACAAAAUUACACAUAAAAAUUUGACAGUUUGAAUCGUUGAGAGAUAACUCUGGUGUGAGAAUAAAUAUAAAUUAAAAACAAGUUAAUAAUUGGGGCUUAAUAAUUAGUAAUGUUGUACGUGUGAAUUAAGGUAUAACCCACACCUCCUUCAAAGCGAUGUCCCUAAAUUGGAAUAGAAUUUCUCAACAUGGAAGCUAUUAUAGUGGGAUAAAAGAAAACUUCCUUAAAAAAAGAAAAUCAAAUAUAAUCCUAACUCUUUCUUUAAGAAUUAGAUUAUAUUCUUAUAUGAGAAAUAUUCCUCCACGUGACUUAUGAUCCAUCGACUCAUCCGGAUUUAAUCCAUCAUGCCCCAACACCUUUUAAUUACGGAUCCGGCUAUGGUGAAGUUGAAAAUCAACUUCACCAUAGUGAGUUGUAUAGUUUUACUGUAAUGUGUUACUAAGUACUGCAAGACAAUAUAACUCACACUAUGAUGAAGUUGAUUUUCAACUUCACCAUAGCCGAACCCUUUAAUUACCAUUAUGAUAAAGCAAGAGUGUACAUUUCAAAGUAAUCAUGCUCCUAGCAGAGAUGAUGAUUAUAAUUUAUAAUGAAUUAUUUAAUACUCUAUCCGUAUUAUGACGUUUUAGGUAAUUUUAUUUGUUCUAAUGGGAAAAUGGGGAGUAGAAAAUAAGUAUGGUAAUAAAUGAAAUUUUAAGGGGUAUUAUAGACAAUUAAUACUAUAUUUAAUAUUUUUCAAUUAAUACUAUAUAUUAUGGGAGGGAUGAAGUAUAUAAAUAGAAAAUAAUUUUGCAUACCUUUCUUUGGUCAAUUUAUUACGCACAAUAAUGUAAAUUAUUUCAAACCUUUCAAAAAUUACCUAAAAUAUUAUAUGUAUAAUUUAAUAUAAUAUGUUGUUGAAGGCUAGGAUUUAGAGAGAGCUCUUGUUUGUAGUGGUCUGAUAUUAACACCAUAGACUUAGGAAAUCAACAAAGCAUACAUUUAAUGGUAGAUGAUUCCUCUAAAUAUCAGAUGAAUCCUACCAAUUUGGCCUACUUCUCUCUCUCAGCGUCAGCGACCAAAUAAAGGAAAUUGAAUAGAUUUUUCCUUAAUUUUAAUUUUUUACAGUAUUUGGUAGAAUAAUUCGUACAUACUUAUGUUAAUAUGUUGACACUUGUCUAUUUCAGGCGACUAAUUGGUCGGAAACGGCAAAAAGGAGCAACAUUGUAUUUUAAAAUUUAUGGAGGUGUUGAUUGCUUAUUCGCAAACAUGUUGGUUAAAAACGAAGAAGUUGAUAACUUUGGGGUAAUUUUUGUCAUUUGCCCAAAGGAGAUGAAAAGCCAAACAAACUAUCUAUAAAACGGGAUCCAAUUAAAACUUAGACCUCCCAAAUCCCUUCUCUCGUCUCAGUGUUUUACUCUUUCAAGUAAAACAGCCAGCCAUGGCGACAACCAGCUGCUCCGCCGAUCAAUUGGCGCAGUUCUUCGGCGAAAACACCACCAACCCCACCGCCGCCGCCACCUUAAUCUGCGACCAGUUCGCCGCCAUCUCCAACCGGUUCACCGAUACCGGCUACGCCAUCGAUUCGACUUACCUCCUCUUUUCCGCCUACCUCGUCUUUUCCAUGCAGCUCGGCUUCGCCAUGCUCUGCGCCGGCUCUGUCCGCGCCAAAAACACCAUGAACAUCAUGCUCACCAACGUCCUCGAUGCCGCCGCCGGCGGCCUCUUCUAUUAUCUUUUUGGCUUCGCCUUUGCCUUCGGCGUCCCCUCAAACUCCUUUAUCGGCCGCCAUUUCUUUGGCCUGAAUGACCUCCCCACCUCUAGUUUCGAUUACAGAAAUUUCCUCUACCAAUGUCAGAAUCUUUCUCCACGUCCUAAUUACGUAAGACGUCCUGAUCCUGCACAGUAAACACAGUCAACACCAAAAGUUUGACGGCUAAGACCGUCAGGGGAUAGCUCCGGCGUGAGAGUCAGUACAGGCGAUCACAAGGUUAACAAUGGAGGAAUAAAUAUCUAGUGACUUGAGAGCAAUAAUUUAUGAGUUACCUUUCACCGUAUGUCAUCCUUGCUUUAUAUCCCCAAAGUCCGGUUUGUCCUGUAUGUAACUGACUUUUUGGGCCCACAGCUUUCAGCUGACUAAGCCCUGUUCAAUCCUCAUUAAAUGCAAUGCAGAGAUGACAGUCAAAGUUCUAUCCCCAAUCUACACCGGUCAAAGCCCAAGUGGAACCAUACUCAUCUAGUAAUUCGGCCCACUGCAUCCGGACCAAUAGGGCAAGAAUAAUCAUAACCCCAGGGAGGAGCCCAUUAAGUCUGGCCCAAUAAGGAAAAGGAUCAUGGCCCAACAUUGCCCCCCAGUCUUUUAUUAAACAGGAGGUUUAAUGAAAGAGUAUAAGUGGAAUCGGUCCAGAAUAAAAGGAAUUAUAAUGAGAUCAACAAAGGCCCAAGAUACAACUUACCGAGGCCCAAAAGAGAAGCCCACUCCGGUAAACAAUAAAGACUAAAACCGCACGCUACUUCUUUAACUUCACAAUCACCGUUGGCAUUAAAUGAGCCACCCCUGAACCUUAUGAAAAGUUGAAGAGAACUCUAGUAUAAAAGCUGCUUUCUCCCAAAUCUGACAGUUUUACCAACUCAAUUCGAAAUUCGGAUAUUCCUUACUCCUCUUCUUCUCCAAAUUUCUCUCUGCAAACUUCAGAAGUAUUUCAACGGAACGAGUGAGAGAAAUGGCGAGCCUUCUAGAUAAGAUUCACAUUAAGGAAGGGAGCUUCGAACUUCUGAGUAAACAAACAUGAUUGUAUAACCAUAACUGUAAGUCUCGAACCCACUCUAUUGUUUAAAUCCCAAUUUCCAUCAGUAGUUCUCACAAACAAUUGUUCUUUAUCUGUUGCAGUGUCUCUGAUCAAACCAAUGUCAAUCGACCGAAGGGAUCUAGACAGAUUUUUUUCUGGUACAUCCUUGCCAACCUCUACCGAUGUACCAACUGAAGAGCUUCAAGCCACCGAAUCAACUCCUAUUGAAGGGACAAGCCAACCUCGCCGAAGAAAGUAAGCUGGCCAAAAACCCAAACACACCCCUACGCAAAAUCACACCGAGUGCCUCCUCGGUAUGCCCUCUGACGAACGGACCCGAAUCUUUUGCGUCAAAAAGAGGAAAAUCCAAGCAAAUUCUCCGGCCUCCGAAGGACCACAAGUACCUCUAACAGAAACCGAUCCUCCGCCAACCUCCCUGGUUGAAAUCGUUGUUUCUGAUGAAGAGCCCGAAGAGAUCACCCAAACUUGCUCGAAAAAGACAACCAACCUCCUCAGACUUCAGGCCCGAAGAGAACUUCCCAUUUGAGCUCUACGACUCCUUCGUCCAUAAUACCGACAACCACCAGUUCAGCAAUAGCUCUAUCAUGGACCUGAUUAAUUUUGAACUGAUAGACUAACACUGAUCAUCCGCAGGCAAGCACUGUCUUCGGAUGCCUCCGCCCCAAAUACCAAGAGGCCGAAGCCGAAGAGAAAGCUGCUCGAAGAGAGAAUACCCUACUAAAGUCUGCUCUGACGAAACAUAGAAGUAGUCUCAAAGUUGCUUUUCACGAUAAUGAGUGCCUUCAGAAAGACCUUGCCCAAACCAAAGAAGAUUUGAAAACGACCCUGGCCACUCACCAAGUCAUCACUGAUAUAAAUAUUGAUCUGUCAAGCUAAAGAAUCAAAGCAUCCGGUAUAUCGUCAGAAGUUCGAAGAAGAGCUCAAAGAGCUUCGGGCCCUUAAGAAUUUGAGUCCGCCAUUGACCGAAGAAUUUCGUAAGGAUAUCCAGGCAGAAUACAGAAAAUCCGCCGAGCUGAACAAUAAGAUCGUCCAUAUGUAUACGAAAGGAUAUGAAAUAUGUCGAAGUAAAGGCAAGAAAAAGCUUGGGCCAAGGUAGAUCCAUCUCUUCUAGACUCUUUAGAUGGUGACGAUGACAAGGAAGAAGCCUGAAGAUGACCUCUCCUUAUCUCUAGUUGUAGAACUUUCUGUGAAAAUUCUAACUUUAUGUAAACAGUUAAUAUUUAAUGAAAUAUCAACUUCAUGCCUUAUUACUUCUGUG